rnacentral:rRNA from 1 species
AAGCUUGGUUGGGUUGUCGCUUGGCUNCUUCCGGNAGCAUGUGCACGCCUAACACCAAUCUUCUUACCACCUNGUGCACUUNUUUNGUAGAUCUGGAUAUCUCUCGAGGAAACUCGGUAUUGAGGGCUGCUGUGCGUUAAAGCCGGCUUUCCUUACAUUUCCGGUCUAUGUCUUUAUAUACACCAUUUGUAUGUCUACGAAUGUUAUUAUAGGACUUUGUCCAAAUAAACCUUAUACAACUUUCAACAACGGAUCUCUUGGCUCUCGCAUCGAUGAAGAACGCAGCGAAAUGCGAUAAGUAAUGUGAAUUGCAGAAUUCAGUGAAUCAUCGAAUCUUUGAACGCACCUUGCGCUCCUUGGUAUUCCGAGGAGCAUGCCUGUUUGAGUGUCAUGAAAUUCUCAACCUUUUUGGCUUUUUCUUAAAGUUGAUUAGGCUUGGAUGUGGGGGUUUGCGGGCUUUGUCUGAAGUCGGCUCUCCUUAAAUUCAUUAGUAGGGACCUUUGUUGCCUUAGCUUUUGGUGUGAUAAUUAUCUACGCCAUUAUGUGAAGCAGCUUUAAAUUGGAGGUUACUGCUCUCUAACCGUCUCUCAUGGGACAAUUUUCUGACAAUUUGACCUCAAAUCAGGUAGGACUACCCGCUGAACUUAAGCAUAUCAAUAAGCGGAGGAAAAGAAACUAACAAGGAUUCCCCCUAGUAACUGCGAGUGAAGCGGGAAAAGCUCAAAUUUAAAAUCUGAGGGUCUUUAUGGCCUUCCGAGUUGUAAUC